ensembl:lncRNA
CCAUUUUUUCCCAUUUUUCCCAUUUUUCCCAGUUCCCGGGGCGGUUUAACGAGGUGCUGCUCUCGGUGAUCACCUGGGCGGGGAUCCUGGUGGCCCUGCUGUGCCUGGGCCUGUCCAUCUCGGCCUUCUGCUGCCUGCGGGGGCUGCCCUCGGAGCGCACCACCAUCCACAAGAACCUCUGCAUCAGCCUCUUCCUCGCCGAGCUCCUCUUCCUCGUCGGCAUCGACAAGACGCAGUACCAGGUGGGGCGGGCACACCUGGGGCUGCCCUGGCACACCUGGGGCUGCCCUGGCACACCUGGGGCUGCCACUGGCACACCUGGGGCUGCCCUGGCACACCUGGGCUGUCCUUGGCACACCUGGGGCUGUCCUGGCACACCUGGGGCUGCCCUGGCACACCUGGGGCUGCCCUGGCACACCUGGGGCUGUCCUGGCACACCUGGGACACCCCACAGCACACCUGGGACUGUCCUUGGCACACCUGGGGCUGCCCCUGGCACACCUGGGGCUGCCCUGGCACACCUGGGACUGUCCAUGGCACACCUGAGACACACCACAGCACACCUGGGGCUGUCCAUGGCACACCUGGGGCUGUCCUUUGCACACCUGUUACUGUCCUUGCCACACCUGGGGCUGCCCCUGGCACACCUGGGGCUGUCCUUUGCACACCUGGGACUGUCCUUGCCACACCUGGGGCUGUCCCUGGCACACCUGGGGCUGUCCCUGGCACACCUGGGCUGUCCCUGGCACACCUGGGACUGUCCUUGGCACACCUGAGACACCCCACAGCACACCUGGGGCUGCCCCUGGCACACCUGGGACACCUGGGACCCCCAUGGGACCACCCAUCUUGCUGUCCCUGUCCCUGUCCCUGUCCCUGUCCCUGUCCGUGUCCCUGUCCCACCUUUGCACAGUCCCUGUCCCCACACUGUCCCCACGCCAUCCCGCGCUGUCCCCACAGGUGACCUGUCCCACCUUUGGGCUGUCCCCACCCUGUCCCCACGCUGUCCCCACACUGUCCCCACGCUGUCCCCACGCUGUCCCCACGCUGUCCCGCAGGUGGCCUGUCCCACCUUUGGGCUGUCCCCACGCUGUCCCCACGCUGUCCCGCAGGUGACCUGUCCCACCUUUGGCCUGUCCCACCUUUGGGCUGUCCCCACCCUGUCCCCACGCUGUCCCCACCCUGUCCCCACGCUGUCCCCACGCUGUCCCGCAGGUGGCCUGUCCCAUCUUCGCGGGGCUGCUGCACUAUUUCUUCCUGGCGUCGUUCUCGUGGCUGUGCCUGGAGGGGGUUCACCUGUACCUGCUGCUGCUCGAGGUGUUCGACAGUGACCCCGCGCGCCGCAAGUACUACUACGCGGGCGGCUACUGCUUCCCCGCCGUCGUCGUGGCCGUGGCCGCCGCCGUCGACCACCGCAGCUACGGCACCGACCAGGCGUGCUGGCUGCGGGUGGACAAUUAUUUCAUCUGGAGCUUCAUCGGGCCCGUGGCCUUCGUCAUCCUCGUACGGCCGGGCUGGGGGGCUGGGGGGCUGGGGAUGGACCCUCCUCAUCCUCAUCCUCGUCCUCAUCCUCAUCCUCGUCCUCGUCCUCGUCCUCAUCCUCGUCCUCGUCCUCGUCUUCGUCCUUGUCCUCGUCCUCGUCCUCGUCCUCGUCCUCCUCCUCAUCCUCAUCCUCGUCCUCAUCCUCGUCCUCGUCCUCGUCUUCGUCCUUGUCCUCGUCCUCGUCCUCAUCCUCGUCCUCCUCCUCGUCCUUGACCUCGUCCUCCUCCUUGUCCUCGUCCUCAUCCUCGUCCUCAUCCUCGUCCUCGACCUCGUCCUUGUCCUCGUCCUCAUCCUCGUCCUCGUCCUUGUCCUCAUCCUCGUCCUCGACCUCGUCCUUGUCCUCGUCCUCAUCCUCGUCCUCGUCCUUGUCCUCCUCCUCGUCCUCGACCUCGUCCUUGUCCUCGUCCUCAUCCUCGUCCUCGUCCUCGUCCUCGUCCUCAUCCUCAUCCUCAUCCUCAUCCUCCUCCUCAUCCUCCUCCUCAUCCUCAU